GAGGAAGAGGAAGAGGAAGACAAGAAGGUGCUCAAAGAGGGCCGAAUCUGACAAAUGAGAUCCGCGCAACACUGGUUGACCACGUUGUCAACCACGGCCUGACGCUGAGGGAGGCCGGACUAGGAGUACAGCCAAAUCUAAGCCGAUACACAGUGGCAAGUGUGAUAAGAACAUUUCGACUGGAAAAUAGGAUUGAGGGUCAGGAACGACAAGGGGGAAGGCCUCCUAUGUUCACAGAACAGCAAGUGAGGGAGAUAGUAAACGUGGUUUUGGCCAACAAUGCUAUAACACUCAAUCAGCUCCAAGCUAACAUUGUCAAUAACCACGCCAGUUUCAACGAUAUCCAUCAGGUCUCAACAUCAACACUGGCACGCACCCUAAAAAAAAAACAUUAUUCAAAUGAAGCAAAUUUAUCGAGUGCCUUUCGAGCGCAAUUCCGAAAGGGUGAAACGACUGCGGCAUGAUUAUGCAGAGAGAGUUUUACGAAUGGAUGGAGAGGAGAUCCAGCAUGAGUUCAUUUACGUAGAUGAGGCUGGGUUCAACCUGACGAGAACACGAAGGAGGGGAAGAAACAUCAUUGGCCACAGGGCUAUAGUCCAUGUCCCAGGGCAACAUGGGGGUAAUAUAACACUCUGUGCAGCCAUUACACAGAAUGGGGUCCUCCACCGCCAUGCCCAUAUGGGCCCUUACAACACAGCACUCAUACUUACAUUCUUGGACCAAUUGCACAACAUAACAGCAGCAAAUCAAAUCGAUCAUAAUGCAAUACAUUGUUGUCUGGGACAAUGUGUCUUUCCACCGCUCUGCUCUGGUUCAGAACUGGUUUCAGCAACAUCCACAUUUCACCGUCCUAUAUCUU